UUCUUUGUUGUAAAUUCUCACUUGGUAUAUAUUUUUUUUUUUUUUACUUGUUUCAGUCAUUUGACUGCGGCCAUGCUGGAGCACCGCCUUUAGUCGACCAAAUCGACCCCGGGAUUUAUUCUUUGUAAGCCCAGUACUUAUUCUAUCGGUCUCUUUUUGCCGAACCGCUAAGUGACGGGGACGUAAACACACCAGCAUCGGUUGUCAAGCAAUGCUAGGGGGACAAACACAGACACAGAAACAUACAUACAUACAUAUAUAUACAUAUAUACGACAGGCUUCUUUCAGUUUCUGUCUACCAAAUCCACUCACAAGGCAUUGGUCGGGCCGGGGCUAUAGUAGAAGACACUUGCCCAAGAUGCCACGCAGUGGGACUGAACCCGGAACCAUGUGGUUGGUUAGCAAGCUACUUACCACACAGCCUAUAUAUAUAUAUAUAUAUAUAUAUAUAUAUAUAUAUAUAUAUAUAUAUAUAUAUAUAUAUAUAUAUAUAGUUUGUAUUAGUUUGACUCGCAGGAAAAUGAAAAAGUAUUUUACGUUUCAAGCCUACGCUCUUCAGCAGAAAGCAAUAACUGAGAAUAAACAGACAGAGGAUGAAUACAUAUAUGUGUGUGUGUGUGUGUGUGUGUGUGUGUGUGUGUGUGUGUGUGUGUGUGUGUGUGUGUGUGUGUGUAUAACAAAUUAAAAAGGAAAAUACGCACACUUACAUAGUUUUAAUAUAAUUUGUAAUAUAUCGACCGGUUUCGCUAUCGCUAUUCAUGAUAUUAUGUUUUACUUAUUUGAAUAUAUAUUUUUUCGUAAGAAAUUUUGUCCAUGUUGUGUGUGAUGAAAUUCACGUAUGAAUGGCAUCACAGGUAGAUAAAUAAAGGGAGGUAAUUGGUUGUCGUUAUUAUUGUUAUUGUUGUAGGUAAGGGAGAUAACUGUUCAACUUUCGGUAAUGGGAGGGGAAUAUAUAUGUGUACAGACAGAGACAAGUUUCAAAAACUUUUUUUAGUGAGGGCAUUAUAUAUAUAUAUAUAUAUAUAUAUAUAUAUAUAUAACUAAUGUAGGAUAAAAUUUUUUCGGGAAAAAAAUUUUAUCAAUGGCCAGCAUAUCAAAAAAUACCUUUAAUGGUUAAAUUUAUAAAUAAUUUACAAGAUAAGGGCAAAAGAAAAAUUCUAAUGCCAAAUAUGCCGAAAAAAAGACAGUAAUUGUCAAUAAACCAUUAUAAUUUAUGCGUCUCGAAACAAACCGAUAGAAAUCUCUAAAAAAAUUCGUUAUUACCGUAAUGGUCCAAUUUCGGGGUUAAUUCGUAAGAAAUUUUCCCCUCUUCAGCGGCAAAUACGCGAGAUAUAAGUGAAAUACUUACUCAUACCCACGGAAAGUUCUGCUCGGGACUUAGUGCUUGCUUUUUCCGUGGGUAUGAGUAAGUAUUUCACUUAUAUCUCGCGUAUUUGCCGCUGAAGAGGGGAAAAUUUCUUACGAAUUAACCCCGAAAUUCACCAUCACUACCACCACCAUCAACACCACCGCCACCACCACUUCUACUAUGACCCACGGCACAACACCCCUCCGUCAAAACCACCCAGAACCUACCACCGCCACCAUCUACAAUAUCAUCACCAUUACUACUACUACUACUACUAUUACAACAAUGACUACUGAUACUACUACUACUACUACCAAUACUAUCAGCACUACCCCAUUCAAUUAUAUCACGUACACUACUACCUCUUGAACAAACACCACUGCAACUGCCACCACCACUACUACAUCCACUCAUUGCACAACCAUUCCCGCCACCACUACCACCACAACCACCACUCAAAGCACUGUCACUCGCACCACCCACAGAACUACCCCGUCCACCACCACACCAAAGCCUAAAGCUUCCCACUAUUACUAGCACCAUCACCACAGCGCCACCUCUUACACCAGCAACACUACCACAGCCACCACUACCACCCCCGCAACCACUAUUACCCAUUCUACCACCACCACCAUUUACAUCACUACCCUUCCACUACAACCACCGCUACAACAGCUUCCACCACCACCAACAGCACUACCUCCCUUUUACCACCAACACUACCACCAACGGCAUCGCAAGCCUUUCACCACUACUACUACUACCACCACCAACACCACCAUCAAUACCGCCACCAACACCAACGCCACCACUGCAGAAUUACUCUUCUACUACAACCACCACUACCACCAUCAACAACAUUACCACAACAUCACCAAUGCCACCACCACCACCAAUACCACCACCAGUACCACCACCAUCAACACCGCACCAACAACACCAGCAUCACCACCACCACCACCGAUACAACCACCAAUACUACCACCAACAUCACCAAUACCCCCACCACCACCAAUACCGCCACCAGUACCACCACCAUCAACACCGCCACCAACAGCAACAAUCCCACCACCACCAACACCACCACCAAUACAACCACCAUGACUACCACCAUCAUCACCACCAACAACAACACCAUCAACAUCACCAAUACCAACACCACCACCAUCAAUACCACCACUAGUACUACCACCAUCAGCACCACCACCAACAACAACAACACCACCAACAUCACCAAUACCACCACUACCACCAAUACCAUUAGCAGUACUACUACCAUCACCAUCACCACCAACGCCAAUACCACCCAUUGUACAAACCCUUUCACCGAUACCACCACCACCUCUACCUACAACACUCCCCUUCCACUACAACCACCACCACCAAUUCCCUCCCGCCGCCACCACCGUCCUCUCCACCACCAACCUAACCAUCGAUACAGACUUUAACCAAUUCCUCUGUCACAAACAUUAAUGUAUUUUAAUCUGUUCAUGUCAAAACCAAAAUAAUCCUAUUCGAGAAUGUAUCUUGAUUCUUUGAAACUGCGCAUGGCACCAUUACCAUCGUAGCCUCAUACCCUCCACAAUUACCAUCACGCCACCUAGCUGCCAUACCGCUAUACCACAUUACCAAUAUGCCAUCGCGCGCGUGUGUGUGUGUGUGUGUGUGUGUGUGUGUGUAAAUGUGCAUAUCUAUCUAUCUUUCUAUCCAUCUAUCUAUCUAUCUAUCUAUCUAUCUAUCUAUCUAUCUAUCAAUCUAUCUAUCUAUCUAUCUAUCUAUCUAUCUAUCUUUCUUUCUAUCCAUCCAUCUAUCUAUCUAUCAAUCUAUCUAUCUAUCAAUCUCACCCUUCAUAUCUCUCUCACUAUACAUAUAUAUAUAUAUAUAUAUAUAUAAAUUUAAAAUUUAAUAAGGGUAGAAAUUGAUAUUAAUCAAUUAAAACCAGUGGCCUAGCAUAUUAAAAAAAAUCCGAAGAUUAAAAAUUAUAUUACAUACAAAUUAAGAGGAUUGGCCAGCAAUGUGGCAUAUUAGGAGUCCACUUUGGUGAUCAUUAUUCCUCUUAAUUUGUAUAUAUAUAUAUAUAUAUAUAUAUAUAUAUAUAUAUAUACUGUUGUGUCUGGGGAGAAUCAUUUUCUUUUUGUGCCUUAUUAUUUAACACACUCACCGGUAAAAUUUCCACUUAUUUCUUAUUUUUAUUUUCCUAAAAUUUUCGUUGCGUCUUGCAACCGUUUCAAUAGUCUUGAAUUUAACGUCUGAUUUUGUGGAUGUGGUUCAUAAUACACAAUGCAUUUCCAAUCCCACAAGAUACACAGCAUCACUUCUUCGGACACAGGCCAGCUUUUGGAGAAAUUGAAGGCUGUUUAUCUCGUUUUCUCCAGGACAUUUUUCGUUUAAUGUUCUAAAAUAAUCUAUUUCUCAUCACACGUGAUCAUUCUUUUCAAAAAUGAAUCAUUUUUGUUUCGCCUGAGCUGAGAAUCGCAGAUGGAAAUGCGGUAUAUUAAAUUUUUUUCUGUUUAGUUAUGAAGCACCCAAACAUCACAGCAAUUCACAUAAUCAAGUAUUUUUAAAUGCUCUAUAACGCUCAUAUGAGGUGUGUGGAGAAUCUCCGUGAUGUCUCACGUUGUGUGACAUGGAUUUUUUUUUAUUAAAGUUUCGAUUUCUUCAUUAUCAACGACUGUAGGCUGCUGGAACGUUCACCAUCUUCCAGAAUAAAAUUUUCGGUUCUAAACCUAACGAACCACUUACGAACAGUACGUUGAGCUAUGAUACCAUCUCCAUAACAGUACAUUUCUUUGCUGUUUGUGCAGAGCUUUUGCCGGAUCUUUUCGGUUUGAAUGGCAGUUUUUAACAUAAUUUCUAGGUAACUAAAAAAAUUUUAAACUUCGUAUACUGGUACAGUGUGUAUAUAAAACAUCUUUUUCUCUUGGCUCUAUUGAGAAAAUUCUAUAGUUUGUAAGAUAUUUGUUGUUUUUUUUCUUCAAUUUCUGAAAUUUCAACCAAUCACUGACGUCUAUUGAGGUAAAAAAAACAUUCUGUGCCGUAUGAAUAUGUCUCUCGUUUAAGAAACAGAUUGGGUUUAUUUACAUUUGUGAAGAAAAAAAGAUACCCUUCCCCCCACCCCUAACCCUAAAACAGAUUGAAAUACAAUAGAUCGAUACUAGGGUCAUAAUUAUGGGUGACAAUUUCAUAAGACACCGCUAGAAAAAACUGCCGUUCAAACCGAAAAGAGCCCUUUACCUUUCCAGAAAUAAAAGAGCAUUAAAUGACGAAAAUGUUUUUCAUUUUCCUUCAUUUUUCAAUUUCAUUCUAAGAACAGUAGAAGGAAAUAAUCCACAUAACAUUCAGAUAGAAAGAUUCGUUGAGAUCGCCUCUUUCGGAAUAUAUAUAUAUAUAUAUAUAUAUAUAUGUCGUAAGUUUCGAUCUCGAAAGGAUGAAAGGCAAAGUCGAACCCGGCGGAAUUUGAACUCAGAACGUCAAGAUGGACGAAAUGCCGCUAACCAUUUUACCCGGCGUGUUAACACCUCUGCCAGCUCCCAUAUGUAUGUGUGUGUGCGUGUGUGUGUGUACAGAUAUAUAUAUAUUCUCUAUAUGCUCUAUUCUGUUCGAGUCUCUGCUCUCCGCUACUCAACAGUCCUCGGCUGUGCUCUCUUUUACU
rnacentral:lncRNA from 1 species